CUGUUGAAUAAGUUUUUGUUUAUUCUACACCAUUUUCAUGUUCCACGCUAAGAGGCGGACUUUUCCUUGAAAAAGUACUUUUCUUUGAAAAGCAAUGAAGAACGGCCUUCAUUUGGUAGCAAAUUUUCAGAAGCUGAGAAGUGAUUUUGGGCAGAUAGAGAAGUGAAAAUUUUUAGUUUUUCAGCCAAAAAGUGCUUUUGGCUGGUUCAUUUAUUUUUUUAGCCACACACGAACGCCCUUCUUUGCUCUCUACUCUCUGCUGGUUCUUUGCCCUCAUCGCUGCCCUCUGCUAGUUCUUUGUUCUGCCCUUUGCUGGUUCUCUAUUCCUCUGCCCUCUGCCGAUUGAAUAGGAGAUAACCUUAGGUUGUCAACGCUUCCUUCAUCUCCUACAUCGAGCGAAAAGAGUAAGAGACAACAAUGGUUACUUUCCGGGAGAAGGGGAUAUUGUUUUCCAAGUGCUUAAGUGGGACAAAGAGAUUGGAAAGCAUGGCUUGAACUUUGAAAGGUGAUAUCAUGUGUAACUCAGACCAUAUUUAUGUUUGAGUUCCUUGUUUUAAAAAAUGGAUAUAGCUGUUGCUUGCUGUUGACGAUUCUUAACCCAAAGUAUUAAUGCUUGCUCAGAUUCUUAACCCAAUGUUUAUUUCAUGAAAGGUUCCCAUCUUAAAGUUGCUUCCUGUUUAACUAGCAAUUUUCUAGUAUUAAUGCUAGUGGAUUGGUCUUUGACUAGCAAUUUUCUAGGACUAUUCAGGUUGUGGAAGGCUCUCC